rnacentral:lncRNA from 1 species
AGACAUUAAUCUUAAGUAUCCAGGGAGCCCUAAAACAUUGUAUCCCACUAGCAAGGACCAUGGUAAUUGCCACGUAAAUCCCCUCCAUUAUGUGGCCCUUAUUAUGACCAGCCAGCCAAGGCUUGCCUUUAAAUCAUACCAAUUGAACCGAGCCUUGUAGAAACACUAUCACCUACGCAUACCUCUGCUUCUUUUCAUUAACCUGCUAUCCUCUUUACAAAUGGGAUUCUUCACCCACUCCCUUCUUCUAGAUUAGCAAUGCCCUGUUAAGUAAACGAACACGAAAUUCAAAGGGAAACAGGAGCAAUCAUCAUUACCAGCUGCCGUGUUAAGCAUUGCGAAAACGCUCACGAUUCACAGAAAAAUCCAUGCUGUUCUUUGAAGGCAUUCAAGCCUUAAUAGCUAGCUGGAUGAAUGUUUAACUUCUAGGCCAGGCACUACUCUGUCCCAACAAUAAGCCCUGUACAUUGGGAAAGGUGCCGAGACAUGAACUUUGGUCUUCUCUGCAAUCCAUCUGGAGCAUUCACUGACAACAUCGACUUUGAAGUUGCACUGACCUGGCCAGCCCUGCCACUUACCAGGUUGGCUCUGUAUGGCUAAGCGUUUUCUCCUAAAAUCCCUUGAAAACUGUGAGAAGACCAUAAGAAGAUCAUAUCUUUAAUUCUAUUUCACAAGUCACACAAUAUUCCAAUCAAAUACAGAUGGUUGAGAAAAGUCAUCCAUCUUCCCUCCCCACCCUCCCACAGCCCCUCAACCACUGCCCUGAAACUUAUAUGCUGUUAUCCGCAGCUCCAUCUGGAGCAUCACAGCUACUGUCAACCCUGACGCUCUUUCUGAAAAAACACCGGAUGGACAUCAGAACUAUUUCUUUAAGGAUGUUACUGAGCCACACAGGAAAACUUGCCUUAUGAUUUUGAAUGCACGGAUCUGAUUUGACUAAACAUGAUAACUAGAGAAUCACCCAAUCUACUCCCAUUUUCAACUCUAAAUCAUCAGAGUGUCUCAAAUCCAAAGCACACACAGACCAGCCUGGCCAACACGGUGAAACUCCACCCCUACUAAAAGUAUAAAAAUUAUCCAGGUGUGGUGGCGGGCGCCUGUAAUCCAAGCUACUUGGGAGUCUGGAGGCAGGAGAAUCCCUUGAACCUGGGAGAUGGAGGUUGCAGUGAGCAGAGAUCACACCACCGCACUCUAGCCUGGGCCACAAAUCAACAACAACAACAACAACAAAAAACAAAGCGCACACAGAGACUGAGGUCCUCUUUGGCAUUGAGAAGAUGGCUAUGCAAGUCCCAACUAGCAAGUGCAAACUUCCCAGCUUCACUUCUGCCAGUGUCCCUUCACCCCUUCUCAACCCCACUGGGAGGCAGGAGGGUGCUUGACAAUAACAGCCUUGGCAUCACUCUGCCAGGGUGUAAUAGGAACUGUUACAAUUCUGAGAUUCUGUAAGUGCUUUGAGAUUUUGGAGUCAGACUGCUUGAACUUGAAUCCUGGCCCUCUCAUCAGAGACUUGACUUAUUUUAGGCUGUGGCUUGCCUUUUCACUUCUUGUGUCCUGUUUAAGAAAUAUCUGCUAUCCCAAGCAUCUGGCAUCUUUCUUGACAUAUGUAGCAGUUGCUUUUUGACAGCUUGCUUCUUCAGUGAAUGAAUAAAUUAAUAAAGAGAAAUGUGAUGUUCAGUGAUCCAUUUUGCAGCAUUUAUUAAAUACUGGUGCAUAAUGAUGGAAUAAAUUUUAUACCGUAAGGAUAAACCAGUAUUCUGGACUAAGCCAACGUGGGAGACCCUAGGAGGCCUGUUUGAGAAAGUGACAUUUAAAUUGAGACUUGGCGGUGGCUGUGGCUACAUAUCUAAUUGCAAACUCCUAGAGAAGGGCUCAACAGUGAGUGCUGAGGCUGCACAGAGGAGGAAGGCAGCACAAUGAUGGAAGGCUUCCUAAAGAGAUAACACUAACAAAGUUGACCUUAGAAUUGGAGUGCCUGGGUUAGAACCCUGCUGGUACCACCUGCUUACUGCAUGCUUCUGAUGUGAGUUCAGGAGAAGACACUGGCAAGGACAGCAAAGAACAGGAGAACACUCUAGCUUCCCUGAUAGCAUUCAAGGUGCUGUCCAAACUGACUGUGAUGGCACCCUCCAGACAGACAGCGAUGCCACAUGUUCAAGAUGGCAGAAUCACUAUCAGCUUCAAUUCCUGAAUGACUGCAGAGCAAAAUUUCUUACCUGCAACAUACACUCUAUUUUCAGCCUCCCUGGACUGUUACAUAAUGAUACAUAAAAAUAUUUCUUGUGUUGAGGCAUCCCAAAUUUGAUUUAUUUGUCAUCACAGUCUAUCCUAUGAAUAUAUUUCUGAUCCAAAUAAUGCUAGAUUCAUGAGAGUUUAUAGUCCAGAGAUUUUUUUUUUUUUUUUGAGACAGAAUCUGUCUCCCAGGCUGGGGUGCAGUGGCAUAAUCUUAGCUCACUGCAACCUCUGCCUCCCGGGCUCAAGUGAUCCUCCCUCCUUAGCCUCCAUGAGUAGCUGGGACCACAGGUGUGCACCACCACACCCCGCUAAUUAUUUUGUAUUUUUUGCAGAGGGGGGUUUCACCACAUUGCCCAAGCUGGUCUCAAACUCCUAGACUUAAGGGAUCUGCCUGCCUUGGCCUCCCAAAAUGCUGAAAUUACACUUGUUAGCCAUAGUAAUAGUUCCUAGCCAUAGUCCGGAGAUAUUUUAAAAACUUUAGUGUGAGUUAUUUCUCUUUGCUAUAAUUCUCUCAUGCAUUUUGAAAACCUUUUCUGCCAUACAGUGGUUUUUGGGAAGUCCUUUUGGACAGACAUAUCACAGGAUGGAGAAACUAAAAAGAGAGAAUGCAUUAAAGAAAAAAUAGUACUUCGUAUUUCAGAAAUUACAAAAGGGUGUCAUGCCCCACAGCAUGGUGGGCAGUCAUUUGUAACCCACAGAACAUUGAGUUUCUAAAAUUUGAGUGUUUUUAACUUACGAAGGCCAACUUUACUGAUGAAGUGAUUACCCCAAAUAUGUGAAAUCCAUAUUUCAAGUACAAUAGUAGGAAAUUGGAAAUGGGCUCUUGAGUUUCUGCUUUCAAGUGACCCUCAGAAAUUCCUCCAUUCACUGCAGAGGUUCUGUUUCUCCUUGCUUUGUUCUGACUUUACGGCAGAACUAAGCUAAUGAGUUAGUUACUAUGGGUUAUCACUUGGAUUUGAAGAACCAUCAUUUCUAGGCAUUGCUGCUCAGAGUGGGUCUGCCCUCAGGGGAAGCUGUCUAACCAGAGCCUAACCCACUAGGGUUUUAUCAGAACCUAACUGACCUGAGGAAAAGAAAUACUCAACUCCAGCAAGCUCCAGCCUUCCAAAUGGAGGAGGAGAAAACCCAACUCCAGCCCACUUCAGCUAUCUUGUCCCACAUAAAGGGGAAGUGGAAGAAACCUGAGAAGCAGGCAUGAAGUUCACAGUCCAGAGUGUAUUCCACACCAUUUCAUAUUCCAUCGCAUUCCAUUCUACACAAUUCCACAUCUCCCCGGCCACAUCAGCCUGAGAGUAAUAAACAGACCUUGCCAUCGUAUCCCCUUUUGGAGACACAAGCCAGGAAGGAAGCUCUUCAGUGCAGCUGUGAAUAGAGAAAUGCUGGCUGAGGUUUUGGAGACACUGGGUGAUCAUUCCCAGUGAAAUUUUUAGAUCCCUGGGGACAUGAGCUGCUUUGUCUUUUCCAAGGACAGCAGACAGAGCAUGAAUGAGACCCCCAAAGAAGGGAAGCAAAUGAGACAAGCCCCACAAUUAUUCUGGCUUUUUGCCUAGAGACAAUCUAUGAACUGUGGGGCAAACAACAGAGAUCAAAACAGCUUGGCAAUCUGAGUUGAGGAUGAAGACACCAUUGGGGCAGAAGCAGCGAUAGCUCAAAUUUGUGGAGCAAAGUACCGGAGAAGAUAAACUGCUCCAAAUUCCAAGAGGCUGGGCAAAGAAAAACUUUGUGGAAAGAAGAAUUAUCAGGGAACUCUAAGCUGAAAAAUUGCCAGGGCUCACACAGACCUGGGGAAUUGGUUGAGUUUAUGCCACCUACAGGAUAGAGAACUUGCUGAAUGUUCAAGGAUUUUGUUACAGAUGCAAGAUGACACUUAAAGGGAUGCAAAACUAACAUCUCUGGAUUAGUCUUAAUAAAGUUUAAAAAUAAGCUUAGAAAAAGUCAAA